rnacentral:tRNA from 1 species
GGUAUGUGGCUCAAGCGGUACUGCGCUCGCCUGGCAUGCGCGAGGUGCUGGGUUAGAUCCCCAGCACCA